CUUAUUGUCAAUGUUGCAUCAAAAUGUAGUUUAACAGAUUCAAACUACAAGGAGCUGAAUAUUUUGUAUGAGAAGUACAAAGAUCAAGGUUUUGAAAUUUUAGCAUUUUCUUGUAACCAGUUCCUGUGGCAAGAGACCGGAACAAAUGAGGAGAUUCAGCAAACUGUAUGCACCAGGUUCAAAGCUGAAUUCCCUGUAUUUGAAAAG